rnacentral:rRNA from 1 species
AUUGAACGCUGGCGGCAGGCCUAACACAUGCAAGUCGAGCGCGCGGCGGACGGGUGAGUAAUGUCUGGGAAACUGCCUGAUGGAGGGGGAUAACUCCUGGAAACGGUAGCUAAUACCGCAUACCAUCAGAUGUGUCCAGACGGGAUUAGCUAGUAGGUGGGGUAACGGCUCACCUAGGUGACGAUCCCUAGCUGGUCUGAGAGGAUGACCAGCCACACGGGAACUGAGACACGGUCCAGACUCCUACGGAAGGCAGCAGUGGGGAAUAUUGCACAAUGGGCGCAAGCCUGAUGCAGCCAUGCCGCGUGUGUGAAGAAGGCCUUCGGGUUGUAAAGCACUUUCAGCGGGGAGGCGUUACCCGCAGAAGAAGCACCGGCUAACUCCGUGCCAGCAGCCGCGGUAAUUC